rnacentral:rRNA from 1 species
UGUGCAAGAGCUGAGUUUAGCAGAACAUUCUGGAAAGUAUAGCCAUAGAGGGUGAUAGUCCCGUAUGCGAAAAACAAAGCUUAGCUAGCAGUAUCCUGAGUAGGGCGGGACACGAGGAAUCCUGUCUGAAUCCGGGUCGACCACGAUCCAACCCUAAAUACUAAUACCAGAUCGAUAGUGCACAAGUACCGUGAGGGAAAGGUGAAAAGAACUGAGGUGAUCAGAGUGAAAUAGAACCUGAAACCAUUUGCUUACAAUCAUUCAGAGCACUAUGUAGCAAUACAGUGUGAUGGACUGCCUUUUGCAUAAUGAGCCUGCGAGUUGUGGUGUCUGGCAAGGUUAAGCAAACGCGAAGCCGUAGCGAAAGCGAGUCUGAAUAGGGCGCUUAGUCAGAUGCUGCAGACCCGAAACGAAGUGAUCUAUCCAUGAGCAAGUUGAAGCUAGUGUAAGAACUAGUGGAGGACUGAACCCAUAGGCGUUGAAAAGCCCCGGGAUGACUUGUGGAUAGGGGUGAAAGGCCAAUCAAACUUCGUGAUAGCUGGUUCUCUCCGAAAUAUAUUUAGGUAUAGCGUUGUGUCGUAAUAUAAGGGGGUAGAGCACUGAAUGGGCUAGGGCAUACACCAAUGUACCAAACCCUAU